UUUCAGACCCCGCUAGAGAAUUUUAUUUUUUUACAAGAAGCGACUAGCGAAAAAAUUUAGCGAGUUUUCCCGGCGACGUCGGCGACUUUUGGAGAGUUUUUUGUUAACCUGAAAUCCUCCGCUAUCACUGUGUUUUGUGUACAUACCGCCUUCUACUGCGCCCGUUCGUGCGCUUUGGCAUCGCCCGGACCCCCAAGAGUACCUGACUGUUGGUUUGUACCAUAGCAAAGCAUUUCGGGGCGGACCCGCCCUCAAGUUAGCCGAUCCGUUCAGGCUGUUCCUCAGUUCUGGCCCUCCGGAGAGGACCCGGCCCGCCCACGGACAGCGGCUCUCACACAGAAAGCAGGAAGUGGACGGCAGCGCUUCUCUACGAUGCAGAGUCGUGUUUCCCAGGCUGCCCCUGAACACAUCCUAAAGCCUGCAGCAGACAGAUGGAGGUGUGCUGCUGACCCUGUGCAAGAAGAUGCUGUUACUGCUGCUCCACAGACACACAGAUUUGGAUGGAGGACUUUAUGGAGCCAGAGCUUUUUAUUAGACAUGUGACACUGUGACAUUUCCUAAAAACUGGACUCACAGAUGAAGCAGAGAUUCAAGUCCAGAGAUGCAAACAGAAGGUGAAGCAGUUUCUUACUCGCAGGUUUACCAAAAGAAGCAUCACCAUCCGAGAGGACAAUUACUUUCCCACACAGGGCCAAGUAGGUCGGUGAGGUGUGGGCCGAGAUCAGCAGGGAACUGAGUGUGGACGGCGUGAGGCCAGUUAGCCCCGAUCGGGAGGCUCUGAGCAACAUCUGUAAGACUGCAGAGGACACCGCAAGGAGGCUCAUGGAGGAACAAAACAGCAUCCUGGAGCAUCAGGAGGAGGACGUCAGCGAGGAGGAGCUCACAUACACAGAGAUGAAGUCUCGCUGGAAGCAAAAGGAGUUCAUUGCCAAAUCAUGGGAAGAUUACGUUUCCAGGACUUCAAACUAUGAGACCUUAAAGGAAGUAAAAGCACAGAGGGAAAAGGACGCUGAAUCAUCCAGAGCUAAACCAAAGGACGAGGGCGCUGCUCUUCAUCCUGCAGAGCAUUUCAUCGGGCACGUGAUUGCAGUAGAGAGCACAGGCGCUCAGGGUCCCGCAGGAGUGAAG